rnacentral:rRNA from 1 species
GUGGGGAGCAAACAGGAUUAGAUACCCUGGUAGUCCACGCUGUAAACGAUGGACGUUAGGUGUUGGGGGAACCGACCCCCUCAGUGCCGAAGCUAACGCGUUAAACGUCCCGCCUGGGGAGUACGGCCGCAAGGUUGAAACUCAAAGGAAUUGACGGGGGCCCGCACAAGCGGUGGAGCACGUGGUUUAAUUCGAUG